AACGAACGCUGGCGGCGUGCUUAACACAUGCAAGUCGAACGGUAAGGCCCUUCGGGGUACACGAGUGGCGAACGGGUGAGUAACACGUGGGUGAUCUGCCCUGCACUUCGGGAUAAGCCUGGGAAACUGGGUCUAAUACCGGAUAGGACCACUGCCUGCAUGGGUGGUGGUGGAAAGCUUUUGCGGUGUGGGAUGGGCCCGCGGCCUAUCAGCUUGUUGGUGGGGUGAUGGCCUACCAAGGCGACGACGGGUAGCCGGCCUGAGAGGGUGACCGGCCACACUGGGACCGAGAUACGGCCCAUACUCCUACGGGAGGCAGCAGUGGGGAAUCUUGCACAAUGGGCGAAAGCCGGAUGCAGCGAUUCCGCGUGGAGGAUGAAGCAUUACGGUGUGUAAACUCCUUUUCUGGUGGAAGACGAAUGACGGUACACCAGGAAUAAGGGACGGCUAACUACGUGCCAGCCGCCGCGGUAA
rnacentral:rRNA from 1 species